rnacentral:misc_RNA from 1 species
AACUGAUACUACCUGCGGGAACCUGCGGAGGGAUCAUUACUGAGUGAGGGCCCUCUGGGUCCAACCUCCCACCCGUGUCUCUUGUACCAUGUUGCUUCGGCGAGCCCGCCUCACGGCCGCCGGGGGGCAUCUGCCCCCGGGCCCGCGCCCGCCGAAGCCCCCUCUGAACGCUGUCUGAAGAUUGCAGUCUGAGCGAUAAGCAAAAAUUAUUUAAAACUUUCAACAACGGAUCUCUAGAUC